rnacentral:rRNA from 1 species
GACGAACGCUGGCGGCGUGCUUAACACAUGCAAGUCGAACGAAGUGGCGAACGGGUGAGUCACGCGUAAUCAACCUGCCCUUCAGUGGGGGACAACAGUUGGAAACGACUUCUAAUACCGCAUACUGACGCUGGGUAUUGCGUCUGAUUAGCUAGUUGGAGGGGUAAAGGCCCACCAAGGCGAUGAUCAGUAGCCGGUCUGAGGGGAUGAACGGCCACAUUGGGACUGAGGAACGGCCCAGACUCCUACGGGAGGGAGCAGUGGGGAAUCUUCCGCAAUGGACGAAAGUCUUACGGAGCAACGCCGCGGGAGUGAUGACGGCCUUCGGGUUGGAAAGCUCUGUUAAUCAGGACGCGGUACCGGAACAGAAAGCCACGGCUAACUACGUGCCAGCCGCCGCGGUAAUUC